rnacentral:rRNA from 2 species
CCUGGGAAUUCCUCGUGUUGCACCCCU